rnacentral:rRNA from 1 species
GACGAACGCUGGCGGCGUGCUUAACACAUGCAAGUCGAACGGAAAGGCCUGCUUUCCCUUGUGGAUUGCGGGUACUCGAGUGGCGAACGGGUGAGUAACACGUGAGUGAUCUGCCCUCAACUUGGGUAUAAGCCUGGGAAACUGGGUCUAAUUCCCGAUAGGACUGCAGGGUGGUGCCGGGGGUGGCAAACGUGUUUCUAGUGGUUGGGGAUGGGCUCGCGGCCUAUCAGCUUGGUGGUGGGGUAAUGGCCUACCAAGGCGGUGACGGGUAGCCGGCGUGGGAGGGUGGACGGGCACCUUGGGACUGGGCCACGGCCCAGAGGCAUGCGGGAGGAAGGAAUGGGGAGUAUUGCGCGAUGGGCUGAAGCAUGAUGCCGCGGCGCGGCGUGGGGGAUGACGGAUUGCGGGUUGUAAUCUCCUUGCGAGAACGAGGAAGCAACCUGGUAGGAAGGGUGGUAAGGGUAGUGGUAGAAGAAGCACCGCCAAACUACGU